CCUACGGGAGGCAGCAGUAGGGAAUCUUUCACAAUGGGCGAAAGCCUGAUGGAGCAACGCCGCGUGCAGGAUGACGGCCUUCGGGUUGUAAACUGCUUUUAUAAGCGAGAAAUAUGAUGGUAACUUAUGAAUAAGGAUCGGCUAACUACGUGCCAGCAGCAGCGGUCAUACGUAGGACACGAGCAUUAUCCGGAGUGACUGGGUGUAAAGAGUUGCGUAGGUGGCAUAAUAAGUAGCUAGUGAAAUCUGGUGGCUCAACCAUUCAGACUAUUAGCGAAACUGUUAAGCUCGAGACCGUGAGGGGUAACUGGAAUUUCUAGUGUAGGGGUGAAAUCCGUAGAUAUUAGAAGGAACACCAAUAGCGUAGGCAGGUUGCUGGGACGGUUCUGACACUAAGGCACGAAAGCGUAGGGAGCAAACGGGAUUAGAUACCCCUGUAGUC
rnacentral:rRNA from 1 species